rnacentral:lncRNA from 1 species
CACAACUGUACAUCCUCCUGGGAAGCCGGAAAGGAGGAGGACUUGGAGCAGCAGGGCGUGGAUCUUAGCAGAGUGGAGCGGAGAUGGGAGAGGAAAUGUCUUCCCGUCAUUGUUCUGAUGGAAGAUGGGGAAGGUUGCCCGUGGCUCAGCAGGUAGACGUCAUUAACAGGGAGAGAAGUCCCCACCAGAGCUCGCCAACGGCCAAGUGUUACUCAUUCACCCGGCAAGAGUUCUGACAGGAGAGUCCAGUACACAGAUUGCGUUGUCCCUAUAGCAGCACAGAGAAAACCUAGAGACUCCUGGAGAAGGAAGAUGCACAAUGAGAUGGCCCUCCUCCAAAGGCUGGGGAUGAGAGUAGCACUACCUGUCAUUUUCAAUCCCUCAGAAAUGUGCAGAGGAACACAAAACGUGGGAAACUCAGGUGCAUUCGAAACAAAUGCCCAGAAAACAUUUGUUGCAGGAGAAAGGACUGCCAAGCAGAUGGAUUAAAGGAUGAAUGAAUGCCGGCUUUGGUUGUGUCCCUGUGUGUGGCAGCAAACGCUGAUGGGAGCUGAGACACUAUUUAUGCUAUAGAAUUGGACCAGUUGUGGUCACUGACUCCUGGGCCCUUGCAGGAAAUUUCUGUAGGACUGGCUAUAGGAUCUAAGCAGAAAAUACCAUCUCACCCCUGCUAGAGGUUAUUCCCAGUGCUCCUCCCUAAAAACAACCUGUUGGCCAUUCUGAUGGCAUCGGUAGUGAGGUCUCUGAUGUAUGUUCCAUCUACUAGCUGGUGAGGCUAAGGUAAUAGGAGGAGGCAGAUGAAGUACCAACAUGCUCUCUGGACCACGGAAGAAGCGUCCCAGGAAAGGGAACGACUGAAAUGUGCUACUGUUGGGGGUGUGGGAAAAAAAAAAAAAAAAACAAAAGCUUUGGAAUCUGACAGAUCUGAGCUUGGGGUCUGGGUACACCAUCUACCACCUCUGUGACCUGUUUAGAAGUGUUUAUUCACAUGCUUAUUUGGAGUUGCAAAGAGUCGGACACGACUGAGCGACUGACAGUUUCGUAUCACUGAGCCUCAGUUCUUGCUUCUGUAAAAUUAGAGAAAUAAUAUUUUCCUUCUGGCGUUUCAGUGAGGAUUAAAUAAUAUGAUAUGUGGAAAAUUAUUUUGAGAUGUAUUAGUUGACGUAUAUUCCCAAAUUCCCUCUCUGUCACACACAAAACACACACACACACACACACAUAGCCACACACGUACUUUUUAUCUCAAAGCAAAGCAACUGCAGCCCCAGCCCCCCCCCCCCCGCCCCCGUGUCUUUCUUGUCUGGGUGCGCACAUGGAGGAGACUGUAGAGGUCAAGUUGUGGCCAGGUGGGUCUGGAUGCUGAAGACCCAGGCCAGCCCCCUGAAUCUUCUGUGGAUAAGUGGAUUCUUCUGCCCUAGAAAGAGGUUGGUGGAGAGAGGGCAGGGGCCCCAGAAAUAAUGUGGAGAAAGUGGGGAGAUCUAGAGGGACA